AUGACGGUACCCGAGGAGGAAGCCCCGGCUAACUACGUGCCAGCAGCCGCGGUAAUACGUAGGGGGCGAGCGUUGUCCGGAAUUACUGGGCGUAAAGGGCGAGUAGGCGGUUUAAUAAGUCAGAUGUGAAAUACCAGGGCUUAACCCUGGGGCUGCAUUUGAAACUAUUAGACUUGAGUGCAGGAGAGGAAAGUGGAAUUCCCAGUGUAGCGGUGAAAUGCGUAGAUAUUGGGAGGAACACCAGUGGCGAAGGCGACUUUCUGGACUGUAACUGACGCUGAGGCGCGAAAGCGUGGGGAGCAAACAGGAUUAGAUACCCUGGUAGUCCACGCCGUAAACGAUGAGUGCUAGGUGUAGAGGGUAUCGACCCCUUCUGUGCCGGCGUUAACACAAUAAGCACUCCGCCUGGGGAGUACGGUCGCAAGACUGAAACUCAAAGGAAUUGACGGGGGCCCGCACAAGCAGCGGAGCAUGUGGUUUAAUUCGACGCAACGCGAAGAACCUUACCAGGACUUGACAUCCCUCGCUAUAGGCGGAAACGUUUAGUUCCCUUCGGGGACGAGGAGACAGGUGGUGCACGGUUGUCGUCAGCUCGUGUCGUGAGAUGUUGGGUUAAGUCCCGCAACGAGCGCAACCCUUAUCCUUAGUUGCCAGCGUGAAAGACGGGCACUCUAGGGAGACUGCCGGUGACAAACCGGAGGAAGGUGGGGAUGACGUCAAAUCAUCAUGCCCCUUAUGUUCUGGGCUACACACGUGCUACAAUGGGCUGUACAGAGGGAAGCGAGACCGCGAGGUGGAGCGGAUCCCAUAAAACAGCUCUCAGUUCAGAUCGCAGGCUGCAACUCGCCUGCGUGAAGAUGGAGUUGCUAGUAAUCGCCGGUCAGCAUACGGCGGUGAAUGCGUUCCCGGGCCUUGUACACACCGCCCGUCACACCACGAGAGUUGACAACACCCGACGUCGGUGAUGAGCCGCCUAAGGUGGGGUUGAUGAUUGGGGUGA
rnacentral:rRNA from 2 species